AUUGAACGCUGGCGGCAUGCCUUACACAUGCAAGUCGAACGGUAACGGGCCUUCGGGUGCCGACGAGUGGCGAACGGGUGAGUAAUGUAUCGGAACGUACCUUUCAGUGGGGGAUAACGUAGCGAAAGUUACGCUAAUACCGCAUAUUCUGUGAGCAGGAAAGCAGGGGAUCGCAAGACCUUGCGCUGAUUGAGCGGCCGAUAUCAGAUUAGCUAGUUGGUGAGGUAAAGGCUCACCAAGGCGACGAUCUGUAGCGGGUCUGAGAGGAUGAUCCGCCACACUGGAACUGAGACACGGUCCAGACUCCUACGGGAGGCAGCAGUGGGGAGUUUUGGACAAUGGGGGCAACCCUGAUCCAGCCAUGCCGCGUGAGUGAAGAAGGCCUUCGGGUUAUAAAGCUCUUUCGGCCGGGAAGAAAUCGUAUCAGCUAAUACCUGGUGCGGAUGACGGUACCGGCAUAAGAAGCACCGGCUAACUACGUGCCAGCCGCCGCGGUAACAC
rnacentral:rRNA from 1 species